rnacentral:rRNA from 1 species
UACGUAGGGUGCAAGCGUUAAUCGGAAUUACUGGGCGUAAAGCGUGCGCAGGCGGUUUUGUAAGUCUGUCGUGAAAGCCCCGGGCUUAACCUGGGAAUUGCGAUGGAGACUGCAAGGCUUGAAUCUGGCAGAGGGGGGUAGAAUUCCACGUGUAGCAGUGAAAUGCGUAGAGAUGUGGAGGAAUACCGAUGGCGAAGGCAGCCCCCUGGGCCAAUACUGACGCUCAUGCACGAAAGCGUGGGGAGCAAACAGG